UGGGGAAUUUUGCACAAUGGGGGAAACCCUGAUGCAGCGACGCCGCGUGAUUUAGAAGGCCUUCGGGUUGUAAAAAUCUUUUCUAUGGGAAGAAAAUGACAGUACCAUAGGAAUAAGGACCGGCUAAUUACGUACCAGCAGCCGCGGUAAUACGUAAGGUCCGAGCGUUGUCCGGAAUCAUUGGGCGUAAAGGGUACGUAGGCGGGUAAGCAAGUUAGAAGUGAAAUCCUAUAGCUCAACUAUAGUAAGCUUUUAAAACUGCUCAUCUUGAGGUAUGGAAGGGAAAGUGGAAUUCCUAGUGUAGCGGUGAAAUGCGCAGAUAUUAGGAGGAAUACCGGUGGCGAAGGCGACUUUCUGGCCAUAACCUGACGCUGAGGUACGAAAGCGUGGGUAGCAAACAGG
rnacentral:rRNA from 1 species